rnacentral:rRNA from 1 species
UGCGUAGGCGGCUUGGUAAGUCAGAUGUGAAAUCCCGGGGCUCAACCUCGGAACUGCAUCCGAUACUGCCAGGCUUGAGUAGUGGAGGGGAGUCUGGAAUUCACGGUGUAGCAGUGAAAUGCGUAGAUAUCGUGAGGAACACUAGUGGCGAAGGCGAGACUCUGGACACUUACUGACGCUGAGGCACGAAGGUCUAGGGUAGCGAAAG